rnacentral:rRNA from 1 species
GACGAACCGUGCGAACGUUGUUCGGAAUCACUGGGCUUAAAGGGCGCGUAGGCGGGCUAUCAAGUCCGGGGUGAAAUCCUCCAGCUCAACUGGAGAACGGCCUCGGAUACUGAUGGUCUCGAGGGGGAUAGGGGCACACGGGAACUGUGGGUGGAGCGGUGAAAUGCGUUGAUAUCCAUAGGAACUCCGGUGGCGAAAGCGGUGUGCUGGAUCCCUUCUGACGCUGAGGCG